rnacentral:rRNA from 1 species
GGUUAAGUGACUAAGCGUACACGGUGGAUGCCUAGGCAGUCAGAGGCGAUGAAGGGCGUGCUAAUCUGCGAAAAGCGCCGGUAAGGUGAUAUGAACCUUUAUAGCCGGCGAUACCCGAAUGGGGAAACCCAGUGUGAUACGUCACACUAUCGUUAAGUGAAUACAUAGCUUGACGAAGCGAACCGGGGGAACUGAAACAUCUAAGUACCCCGAGGAAAAGAAAUCAACCGAGAUCCCCCCAGUAGCGGCGAGCGAACGGGGGCCAGCCCAGAACCUGAAUCAGCGGGUGUGUUAGUGGAAGCGUCUGGAAAGUCGCGCAGUAAAGGGUGAUAGCCCCGUACACAAAAAUGCACUGGCUGUGAGUUCGAUGAGUAGGGCGGGACACGUGACAUCCUGUCUGAAUAUGGGGGGACCAUCCUCCAAGGCUAAAUACUCCUGACUGACCGAUAGUGAACCAGUACCGUGAGGGAAAGGCGAAAAGAACCCCGGCGAGGGGAGUGAAAUAGAACCUGAAACCGUGUACGUACAAGCAGUGGGAGCACCGUUGAGGUGUGACUGCGUACCUUUUGUAUAAUGGGUCAGCGACUUAUAUUUUGUAGCAAGGUUAACCGCAUAGGGGAGCCGUAGGGAAACCGAGUCUUAACUGGGCGAAGAGUUGCAAGGUAUAGACCCGAAACCCGGUGAUCUAGCCAUGGGCAGGUUGAAGGUUGGGUAACACCACCUGGAGGACCGAACCGACUAAUGUUGAAAAAUUAGCGGAUGACCUGUGGCUGGGGGUGAAAGGCCAAUCAAACCGGGAGAUAGCUGGUUCUCCCCGAAAGCUAUUUA